CGUCUGUUACUAGCUGGGCUAACCUGGCGUCUGCUAUUAGCUGGGCUAACCUGGCGUCUGCUACUAGCUGGGCUUACCUGGCGUCUGCUACUAGCUGGGCUAACCUGGUGUAUAGACUGUAGAUAAUUAGAAGACAGUGAGCAUCAAAUUGUGAAAUCAACACAGUAAUACUAGUGUUACCAGUUACUGUAAGUUACUGCCACAUGUUGAGCAAGACAUCACAUGUAUUAGAAUUGUACUCACACCCUCAGACACCAAAGGGAUAGUCUCUUGAAGUCCUCCAGAGUGGGCAGAAGCCUUCGGGACAGCAGGUACUCUUCGUCUGUAUCGCUGCAGGUCACCAACAACUAACUUUAACUUCCUUCAUACUGGACACAAACAUCACCGACAUUUGUAGUCUGUGGAUUGGGUGGGCUAUUUACAGAUGGACUAUGUACAGCUGCAGCGAUCGGUUAGCUGCUCAGAUAGCUGAUGUUUAAAGUUAGUGAGGGAAAUAUAAGUCUCCAGCUUCAGCAAUUUUUGCAAUUCGUUCCAGGCACUGGCAGCAGAGAACUGGAAGGAAAGGCGGCGUUGGCUUUGGGGAUGACCAGUGAGAUAUACCUGCUGGAGCGCGUGCUAGAGGUGGGUUGAUGUAAUCAUUGCACGCUAGAAAUAUGGGACCAAAUACUAAACUUUCGACAACUUUAAUACACAUAUAUGGGGGACUAUGUACAAAAAGAGCUGUAAUUUCUGAACGGUUCACCUGAUAUGGAUGAAAAAUCGCCUAAAAUUAAAGCUGACAGUUUGCAUUUAAAGCUCAUAUUUAUUGUAUCAUUUAAAGCUGGAGUACAGAGCCAGUUCAACAAAAAAGGUGCCACUGUACAUUUGGAGCUCACUGUACGUCAGAAUUCUGUUGAGAAACAGACAAUUGGGCAAUAGUGUGUAUCAACAUCAACAGAGCACAAGGCUCCUGCUUAGCAAUAGAUGGAACAGAGACAGAGGCCUUAGUGUGUUGUUCUAUUGUACCCAGCAGAAGGCAGCUUUGUCCCAGGCACUGACUGUGCUGCUCGGGGUGCUGAUGUGAAAAUACAGUCUGUUUGGCCAAGCCCACAGGGAACUACAAAGUGUUUUAUCGAUCACCUCUUUGGGUGUCCCACACCACAUGAUAGAGUGCAGGCCAAUCUACUGAGAGUAGACUGAUUGGUUGAGUAUAAACAGGACCAGUCAGUCUCACUGUAAUGUGAUUGGUUGAGUAUAAACAGGACCAGUCAGUCUCACUGUAAUGUGAUUGGUUGUGUAUAAACAGGACCAGUCAGUCUCACUGUAAUGUGAUUGGUUGUGUAUAAACAGGACCAGUCAGUCUCACUGUAAUGUGAUUGGUUGUGUAUAAACAGGACCAGUCAGUCUCACUGUAAUGUGAUUGGUUGUGUAUAAACAGGACCAGUCAGUCUCACUGUAAUGUGAUUGGUUGUGUAUAAACAGGACCAGUCAGUCUCACUGUAAUGUGAUUGGUUGUGUAUAAACAGGACCAGUCAGUCUCACUGUAAUGUGAUUGGUUGUGUAUAAACAGGACCAGUCAGUCUCACUGUAAUGUGAUUGGUUGUGUAUAAACAGGACCAGUCAGUCUCACUGUAAUGUGAUUGGUUGUGUAUAAACAGGACCAGUCAGUCUCACUGUAAUGUGAUUGGUUGUGUAUAAACAGGACCAGUCAGUCUCACUGUAAUGUGAUUGGUUAUGUAUAAACAGGACCAGUCAGUCUCAUUGUGCUGAGCUGUACUUUUCACUGACAUCCUCCACCUCACCCUCCACUCUGUACAGGACAGUCUGUUUCACAACAGUAACAACAGAACGGUUUCUGAUUGUCUGUGACAGGUGGCCGACACACCCUGUUUUAGACACACCAGUCCGCCCACGGGGAAAAAGUCUGAAUGUGCUUCAGGUGUGCACUGCAUACACAAUACUUCUUAGCCUCCAGAGCUUUUACUGUCAUUAAAAUCUUUUACUGCUGUCACGCCCUGAUCUGUUUCACCUGUCCACCCACCUCCAGGUGUCGCCCAUCUUCCCAAUUAUCCCCUGUGUAUUUAUACCUGUGUUCUCUGUCUGUUUGUUGACAGUUCGUCUUGUUCGUUCAAGUUUACCAGCGUUUUCCCUGUCAGCUCCUAUCAUUUCCCAGCCUCUCUUUUCUUGUCCUCCUGCUUUUUGACCUUUGCCUGCCUUGAUCCUGUACCCGCCCGCCUGACCUCUCUGCCUGCCCCUGACCCUGAGCCUUCCUGCCGUCCUGUACCUUUGCCUUACCCUGGAUUAUCGACCCCUGCCUGCCUUGACCUGUCUUUGCCUGCCCCUGUUGCUACAGUAAAAAUUGUUACUUCAA